UACGUAGGUGGCGAGCGUUGUCCGGAAUUACUGGGCGUAAAGGAUGCGUAGGUGGAUAUUUAAGUGGGAUGUGAAAUCCCCGGGCUCAACCCGGGAACUGCAUUCCAAACUGGAUAUCUAGAGUGCAGGAGAGGAAAGCGGAAUUCCUAGUGUAGCGGUGAAAUGCGUAGAUAUUAGGAGGAACACCAGUGGCGAAGGCGGCUUUCUGGACUGUAACUGACACUGAGGCAUGAAAGCGUGGGUAGCAAACAGGAUUAGAUACCCUGGUAGUCCACGCCGUAAACGAUGGGUACUAGGUGUAGGAGGUAUCGACCCCUUCUGUGCCGUCGUUAACACAAUAAGUACCCCGCCUGGGGAGUACGGUCGCAAGACUAAA
rnacentral:rRNA from 1 species